rnacentral:misc_RNA from 1 species
GUGAAUCAUCGAAUCUUUGAACGCAAAUUGCGCCUUCUUUCGGGAGGCAUGGCUGUUUGAGGGCACCAUUUAAAAAAUAAUGUGCGGGUCGUUAUGCGGAGUGCACACGUUGUUGAGCUUUUCCGAAAAACCAGGUUUUUUUGGUGGCGCAUAAUGAAUAGGGUGGGCUUUUUCUUUCUAUUCUCGUGUUGUAUUUAU